AACAAGUACCGUGAGGGAAAGUUGAAAAGCACUUUGAAGAGAGAGUUCAAUAGCACGUGAAACCACUGGGAGGCAAACAGAUGGAACCACGAAGUGUGCGUCUCGAUCGAUUCAACCAUCGAUAUCCGGUUGGUGUUGUCGGUGUGCGGGAUCUUUUCGGAGAUUGAAUCGAUGACAUUUAAGAUCGAUAUCGGUGGUGCAUUUCGUGUCGAGAAUGCAAAGCCACGUCCAAUUAGAUAGUUGAGACGGCCUUCGCGAAGGGAUUCGAGAAAGGUGGCCAUCAAGUGCGUUUGCAUUUGAAGGUGUUAUAGACUCGAAUCGGAACCGUCAUCAAACAAACUGAUUGGGAUUGAAAUUUCUCCGCAAGGAGUAAUGUGUCGACUAGGCUUUCGAUUAGAAGUGAGUGUUUCGAGGUAUUCUUUGCAUAUCUUGCGGUGUGUCAAGAUGCUUCAACGAUGCUCACUUGUUGAUCGAUCGGUAGAGUCGAAACGAACUGUGGCGCGAGUAGGUCGGUAUUCAUCUGACCCGUCUUGAAACACGGACCAAGGAG
rnacentral:rRNA from 1 species